UACGUAGGGGGCAAGCGUUGUCCGGAAUCAUUGGGCGUAAAGAGCGCGUAGGCGGCCCUGUAAGUCCGCUGUGAAAGUCAAGGGCUCAACCCUUGAAUGCCGGUGGAUACUGCAGGGCUAGAGUCCGGGAAGAGGCGAGGUGGAAUUCCUGGUGUAGCGGUGAAAUGCGCAGAUAUCAGGAGGAACACCGAUGGCGAAGGCAGCUCGCUGGGACGGUAGCUGACGCGUGGAGGCGCGAAA
rnacentral:rRNA from 1 species